rnacentral:tRNA from 1 species
UAAGUAGAUAGCCUUAGUAGCUUAAUAAAAGCA